GGUUUUGAUCAUCAAGCUCUGGUCAUGUUACCUUUACACAUCAUUUCCCCAGCUAAAUAAUAAUUAGUGUUUCUGUUUCUCUAGUGUGUCCCCUCUAUCUCUGGUUUUGGUCAUCAAGCAUUGGCUAUGGUACCUUUGCACACCAUUCCCCCCCAACUAAAUUACACUUUCUAUUUUUGUUUCUCUAGCAUUCCCCCUCUCUGGUUAUGAUCAUCAAGUUGGCUAUGGUACCUGUCUUUACCAUUCCCCCAGUUAAAUAACCAUAAGUGUUUAUACUUCUAGAGCGUUUCCCCUCAAUAUUUGGUCUUAGCCAUCAAGUACUGGCCAUGGUACCUGUGCUCAUUGUUCCCCGGCUAAAUUACACUUUCUGUUUCUCUAGUUUUCUCUAUUUUUGGUCAUCAACUGCUAGUGUUUAUGCUUCUCUAGUGUUUGCUGUCUAUAUCUGGUUUUGAUCAUCAAACGCUGGCCAUCGAACGCUGGCCAUGAAACUUGUCCUCAUUAGUCCCCAGCUAAAUAACUAUUUGUAUUUCUGUUCUGUAAUGUGUCCACUCUAUCUCUGGUUUUGAUCAUCAAGCACUGGCUAUGGUACCUGCGCUCAUCAUUUCCUUAGGUAAAUAAUAAUUAGUGUUUCUAUUUCUCAGUGUUUCCACUCUAAAUCUGGUUUUGAUCAUCAAGCAUUAGCCAUAGUACUUGUGCUCAUCAUUUCCCAACUAACGCUCUCUGUUUCUGUUUCUCCAGCAAUUCUCCUCUAUUCCUGAUUUUGCUCAUCAGGCUCUUCACCCAAUUGCAAUCUGGCAAGGAAAGCACUUUGCUUUGGAUAAAAGUGAACUUGCGCAUCAAACCCAGGACAGGUUCAGUGGGAAGGACAGUGGGAAAGGAGACAGCGAUUUUAAUGACAGUGACUCUGACAUAAGUGGUGUUGGUCUGAAUAAAAGGAGUGCUCUCAGUCAGAAGCAUAAUGGUUUAUGGUCCUGUACCAAUGAGUGCAAGAUACUUGGCCAUUCAGAUCGCUGCUGGAGUCCAUCUUCUCGAGGGCCAAGUAUUUACCGUUCCACAACUACUACUCAGCACCUUACCUCUUUGGGGAAAAGCACGUCACUCCCUCGAGAUCUACUCCGCAAAGAUACAUACUAUCAAGCACUUUUGCCAAAAACAGCAGGCCUACAAAGUGUAUAUCAGAAGAUCACUUGUGAUGAAUCUGAAACUACAACCUCUGUUAUUGUACCACUCUAUCAUUCUGUGGGAUCAAAAAGUCACAUUCCACCAACUAAUAUCUCAUCGAUCAAUGCAUCCAGCGUGCAUUCUCAGAUCUAAGCAGAUACAAGAAUAGGUUUACGAACUUUGAAGUGUUGUAAUAAAUCAAUUUAUUCAUCCUGUAUAUAAAAGCAACAGUUUAUUUUUAUAUUAAUUCCACAUGAAAAUUUCAUUCACAUGGAAGGUGUAAAUAUCAAAUACAGAAACUUGCAAUGUUAAAAAUUGUAAUUUUUAUCCUUUAAUUGAUACUUUGAUUUUAUUGUGUUCUAUUUUCUAUUUUA